AACAGGCCGUUUGGCCGGCAGGCUAAACAUGCAGUCGAACGAGAAGGUUACUUUCGGGUGACUGGACAGUGGCGCACGGGUGAGGAACGCGUGGGAAUUUACCCUGAAGUGGGGGAUAACCAUUGGAAACGGUGGCUAAUACCGCAUACGCCCUGAGGGGGAAAGCUUAAGUGCUUUGGGAUGAGCCCGCGCUGGAUUAGGUAGUUGGUUGGGUAAGAGCCGACCAAGCCGACGAUCCAUAGCUGGUUUGAGAGGAUGAUCAGCCACACUGGGACUGAGACACGGCCCAGACUCCUACGGGAGGCAGCAGUGAGGAAUAUUGGACAAUGGGGGCAGCCCUGAUCCAGCCAUGCCACGUGAGUGAAGAAGGCCUUAGGGUUGUAAAGCUCUUUCGUACGGAGAAGAUGAUGACGGUAUCCGUGAAAGAAGCACCGGCUAACUUCGUGCCAGCAGCCGCGGUAAUACGAAGGGUGCGAGCGUUGUUCGGAAUGACUGGGCGUAAAGGGCGCGUAGGCGGAUUUGCAAGAUAGGGGUGAAAGGCAUGGGCUCAACCUGUGAAUGGCCUUUAUAACUUUGGAUCUAGAAGGCGAGAGAGGGUGUUGGAAUUCCCAGUGUAGAGGUGAAAUUCGUAGAUAUUGAGAAGAACACACGGUUGCGUAGGCGGACACCUGGCUCGUUAUUGACGCUGAGGCGCGAAAGCGUGGGGAGCGAACAGGAUUAGAUACCCUGGUAGUCCACGCUGUAGACGAUGUGAACUUGUCGUUGGGAGCUUAUGGGUCUCGGUGACGGAGCUAACGCGUUAAGUUCACCGCCUGGGGGAGUACUGUCCGCAAGAUUA
rnacentral:rRNA from 1 species